rnacentral:tRNA from 1 species
AAGAGGAGGAUAAAAGUCUGUUACUGCUAAUAAUAGUUUGGGUUCUAAAGUGCCCGUCCUCUUA